rnacentral:rRNA from 1 species
AUUGAACGCUGGCGGCAGGCCUAACACAUGCAAGUCGGGCGAGCGGCGGACGGGUGAGUAAUGUAUGGGGAUCUGCCUGAUGGAGGGGGAUAACUACUGGAAACGGUAGCUAAUACCGCAUACCAUUAGAUGAACCCAUAUGGGAUUAGCUUGUAGGUGAGGUCACGGCUCACCUAGGCGACGAUCCUUAGCUGGUCUGAGAGGAUGAUCAUCCACCCUAGGGCUGAGUGACGGCCCAGACUCCUACGGGAGGCAGUAGGGGGGAAUAUUGCCCAAUGUGCGGAAGCCUGUUGCAGCGACGCCGCGUGGGGGAUGAAGGCCUUCGGGUUGUAAACUCCUUUCGCCAGGUACGCGGUACCUGUAUAAGAAGCCCCGGCUAACUACGUGCCAGCAGCCGCGGUAAUAC